AGCUGCUCCGAGCUUUUCUGCCAUUUGAAGCUUGUGCUGGGAGCCAGCUGUGACCAGAGGAAUAGCUCCAGCCAUCCGGGGGACACGGGUUCGAUCCCUGGCCCAAGAAGAUCCCACAGGCCACAGUGCAACUAAGCCCGUGCGCCACAACUACUGAGCCUGCUCUCUAAAGCCCGCGAGCCACAACUACUGAAGCCCGUGUGCCUAGAGCCUGUGCUCCACAAUAAGAGAAGCCACCGCAAUGAGAAGCCCGCGCACCGCAACGAAGAGUAGCCCCCACUGGCCGCAACUAGAGAAAACCUGAGCGCAGCAACGAAGACCCAAUGCAGCCAAAAAUAAAUAAACUAGUGUGUGGCCUUGGGCUCAUUGCUGAA